rnacentral:lncRNA from 1 species
CCAGAGGGCACGCACACACACACACCCCAUACCAGAGGGCACACACACACCCCGUACCAGAGGGCACGCACACACACACACACACACACACACACACACACACACACACACACACACACACACACCCCGUACCAGAGGGCACACACACACACACACACACCCCGUACCAGAGGGCACGCACACACACACACACACCCCGUACCAGAGGGCACACACACACACACACCCCGUACCAGAGGGCACACACACACACACACCCCGUACCAGAGGGCACGCACACACACACACACACACACACACACACACACACACCGGCACACACACACACACACCCCGUACCAGAGGGCACGCACACACACACACCCCGUACCAGAGGGCACACACACACACCCCGUACCAGAGGGCACACACACACACACACACCCCGUACCAGAGGGCACGCACACACACACACACACACACACACACACACACACACACACACACACACACACCGUACCAGAGGGCACGCACACACACACCCCAUACCAGAGGGCACGCACACACACACACCCCGUACCAGAGGGCACGCACACACACACACCCCAUACCAGAGGGCACACACACACCCCGUACCAGAGGGCACGCACACACACACACACACACACCCCAAACCAGAGGGCCCGCACACACACACACACACACACACACACACACACACACACACACACACACACACACACACCGUAACAGUGGGCACGCACACACACACCCCAUACCAGAGGGCACGCACACACACACACCCCGUACCAGAGGGCACACACUCACACACACCCCAUACCAGAGGGCACGAACACACACACACACACACACACACACACACACACACACACACACACACACACACACACACACACACCCGUACCAGAGGGCACACACACACACACCCCGUACCAGAGGGCACGCACACACACACACCCCGUACCAGAGGGCACACACACACACACACCCCGUACCAGAGGGCACGCACACACACACACACACACACACACACACACACACACACACACACACCGUACCAGAGGGCACGCACACACACACCCCAUACCAGAGGGCACGCACACACACACACACCCCGUACCAGAGGGCACGCACACACACACACCCCAUACCAGAGGGCACACACACACCCCGUACCAGAGGGCACGCACACACACACACACACACACACACACACACACACACACACACACACACACACACACGCACACACACACACCCCAUACCAGAGGGCACACACACACCCCGUACCAGAGGGCACGCACACACACACACACACACACACACACACACACACACACACACACACACACACACACACACACACACACACACACACACACACACCCCAUACCAGAGGGCACACACACACCCCGUACCAGAGGGCACACACACACACACACACACCUUACCAGAGGGCACGCACACACACACACACACACCCCAAACCAGAGGGCCCGCACACACACACACACACACACACACACACACACACACACACACACACACACACACACACACACACACCCCCCAUACCAGAGGGCAUGCACACACACACACCCCAUACCAGAGGGCACGUACACACACACACAAUGAAUAACCCCCACCAGGGGCCAGAUCCUUAAUAGAGGACACACACAAACUCCCAAAGCCCUCAAUCACAGGCGUGUACAGGCCCAGCAUACAUGUUUAUGUCCACAGAUCAAUCCAGCUGAUCCAGAAGCAGCCCGACCUUGACCUGACAGAUCAACACUGCUCUCUGUCUCUCUUUUAUUGCAAGGAGAACAUCCCCUGAAGGUGUGUGUGUGUGUUUGCAUAUGUGUUCAUGCAUGUAUGUGUGUGCGUCUGAAUGUAAUACAGUAUCUCAUGCAACAAUCACAGGAUGGAAUGCUCCUUGGUCCACAAGAGAGGAUGGAUGGAGAGAAGAUGGAUGGAGACUAAAGAUGGAUGAAUAGAGGAUAGACUAGAGAUGGAUGGAGAGAGGAUGGAUGGAGAGAGGAUGAAUAGAGGAUAGACUAGAGAUGGAUGGAGAGAGGAUGGAUGGAGAGAGGAUGGAUAGAGACUAGAGAUUGAUGGAGAGAGGAUGGAUAGAGGAUAGAGACUAGAUAUGGAUGGAGAGAGGAUGGAUAGAGGAUAGAGACUAGAUAUGGAUGGAGAGAGGAUGGAUAGAGGAUAGAGACUAGAUAUGGAUGGAGAGAGGAUAGAGACUAGAUAUGGAUGGAGAGAGGAUGGAUAGAGGAUAGAGACUAGAUAUGGAUGGAGAGAGGAUGGAUAGAGGAUAGAGACUAGAUAAGGAUGGAGAGAGGAUGGAUAGAGGAUAGAGACUAGAUAUGGAUGGAGAGAGGAUGGAUAGAGGAUAUAGACUAGAUAUGGAUGGAGAGAGGAUGGAUAGAGGAUAGAGACUAGAUAUGGAUGGAGAGAGGAUGGAUUGAGAGAGGCGUGGGUGUGGAUGAAUGGUAAGUGGAGGACCUGCAGUACUAAAAGCCGGCGACCCAGACAAUACACACCUACUCACAGGGACCUAACACCACUCACAGGACUGCUCCUUGGAUCACUGCUACCACAUGCUAAAACACUUAGAUACCACACACACAAACAGCAAAAUGUGAAGUUCCAAGCACAUUCAAAAUACAUUCCUGAGACACACACUACCAGUCAGUCAGAGACAUAAACACACGUUAUUGUGUGUGUUGUUGCCAUGCGAUGGUGAUGAGCAGCACAUGACAUGAAUGGGGCGUGGAGCCCAACCUCUUAUCAGACAAAGGAGAUACACAAAAAGGAGGGGAGGGAAGGGAAGGGAGGAGGAGGGGGGGGACGUGCCGCCCCAGACUGCAGUCAUGAGGUCUCCAUCCCGUUCGGCACGCCGAGUCCCGUGGGUAAAAGGCCAUAAAGAAAACUUUGCGCCAGAGCUAAAAUCCCCCUCACACAGUCAAGAGUCACAACACACACACACAGGAACGGGACUGCGUAAAUCAAUGCCAUUCACCACUGGAGGACAGUGAGUUGAGGAAGUCCAGACAAGCUAUUUCACACACACGCUGUUCAUGCGACCCCAUAAAUUCACUUUUUUUAUUUUUUUUUCUGUAUGUCUUGACCGAAAAGUUGCGUUUGUCAAUAAAAUGGUUGAUUUGCAAGUA